CGGGGCGUAGCGCAGCCUGGUUAGCGCGCAUGCUUUGGGAGCAUGAGGUCCCGGGUUCGAAUCCCGGCGCCCCGA
rnacentral:tRNA from 1 species